rnacentral:rRNA from 1 species
CCUACGGGUGGCUGCAGUAAGGAAUAUUGGUCAAUGGACGAAAGUCUGAACCAGCCAUGCCGCGUGGAGGAUGAAGGUCCUCUGGAUUGUAAACUUCUUUUAUAUGGGACGAAAAAAGGCCUUUCCAGGUCGUCUGACGGUACCAUAUGAAUAAGCACCGGCUAACUCCGUGCCAGCAGCCGCGGUAAUACGGAGGGUGCAAGAGUUAUCCGGAUUCACUGGGUUUAAGGGGUGCGUGGAAGUGUGUGUAGAAAUCCCCGAGCUUAACUUGGGAACUGCCAUGGAUACUAUCAGUAUUGAAUACCGUGGAGGUCAGCGGAAUAUGUCAUGUAGCGGUGAAAUGCUUAGAUAUGACAUAGAACACCAAUUGCGAAGGCAGCUGGCUACACGAGUAUUGACACUGAGGCACGAAAGCGUGGGGAUCAAACAGGAUUAGAUACCCGGGUAGUC